rnacentral:rRNA from 1 species
GACGAACGCUGGCGGCGUGCUUAACACAUGCAAGUCGAACGAAGUGGCGAACGGGUGAGUAACGCGUAAUCAACCUGCCCUUCAGGGGGGGACAACAGUGGGAAACGACUGCUAAUACCGAAUACGGAAGGGGGGGUUUUCGUCGGAUUAGCUAGUUGGAGGGGUAACGGCCCACCAAGGCGAUGAUCAGUAGCCGGUCUGAGAGGAUGAACGGCCACAUUGGGACUGAGACACGGCCCAGACUCCUACGGGAGGCAGCAGUGGGGAAUCUUCCGCAAUGGACGAAAGUCUGACGGAGCAACGCCGCGUGAGUGAUGACGGCCUUCGGGUUGUAAAGCUCUGUUAAUCGGGACGCGGUACCGGAAUAGAAAGCCACGGCUAACUACGUGCCAGCAGCCGCGGUAAUAC